UGGAACUCAUUCUGCAGAAUAGGCUGCCUUUGAACUCAGAUCUCUGCCUGUCUCUGUCUCCUCAGUGCUGAGAUUAAAGGCAUGUGGCAAUCAUAAACUUCUUAAGUCAGAUAUUGAUCUUGGUUUAUUAUCCCUAGGCCCUAGCAUAGAACUGACUAGAAAGGGAUGACUGCCUACUGUUGCGGGAGGACUUACCUAAAGACCCAGGGAGGACACGCUCUGAAGCCAGCGUUGCUCUGCGUGCCCCGUGCCAGGAACCCCAGUGAGAACGCUCCUGGUUGUCUGGCUGAGAGAACAGCAAAGCAUUUAGAGCAAGGAGAUCGUUCUUACACAAUACUAGAAGCCAGGCAGGGGUGGUGGUGUAUCCCAGUAAGCCCAGCACUCUGAAGUCUGAGGCUGGAGAAUAGAGAAUCUGAGAUCAGCUUGGACUAUAAUAAACAAUAAACUAAUAAAUAAUGUUGAUCUUA